rnacentral:rRNA from 1 species
UUGACCUCAAAUCAGGUAGACAGCCCAUC